AACGAACGCUGGCGGCAGGCUUAACACAUGCAAGUCGAACGCCCCGCAAGGGGAGUGGCAGACGGGUGAGUAACGCGUGGGAACAUACCCUUUUCUACGGAAUAGCUCUGGGAAACUGGAAUUAAUACCGUAUACGCCCUACGGGGGAAAGAUUUAUCGGGGAAGGAUUGGCCCGCGUUGGACUAGCUAGUUGGUGGGGUAAAAGCCUACCAAGGCGACGAUCCAUAGCUGGUCUGAGAGGAUGAUCAGCCACAUUGGGACUGAGACACGGCCCAAACUCCUACGGGAGGCAGCAGUGGGGAAUAUUGGACAAUGGGCGCAAGCCUGAUCCAGCCAUGCCGCGUGAGUGAUGAAGGCCUUAGGGUUGUAAAGCUCUUUCACCGAUGAAGAUAAUGACGGUAGUCGGAGAAGAAGCCCCGGCUAACUUCGUGCCAGCAGCCGCCGUAA
rnacentral:rRNA from 1 species